AACGCUGGCGGCGUGCCUAAUACAUGCAAGUCGAGCGGACAGAUGGGAGCUUGCUCCCUGAUGUUAGCGGCGGACGGGUGAGUAACACGUGGGUAACCUGCCUGUAAGACUGGGAUAACUCCGGGAAACCGGGGCUAAUACCGGAUGGUUGUUUGAACCGCAUGGUUCAAACAUAAAAGGUGGCUUCGGCUACCACUUACAGAUGGACCCGCGGCGCAUUAGCUAGUUGGUGAGGUAACGGCUCACCAAGGCAACGAUGCGUAGCCGACCUGAGAGGGUGAUCGGCCACACUGGGACUGAAACACGGCCCAAACUCCUACGGGAGGCAGCAGUAGGGAAUCUUCCGCAAUGGACGAAAGUCUGACGGAGCAACGCCGCGUGAGUGAUGAAGGUUUUCGGAUCGUAAAGCUCUGUUGUUAGGGAAGAACAAGUACCGUUCGAAUAGGGCGGUACCUUGACGGUACCUAACCAGAAAGCCACGGCUAACUACGUGCCAGCAGCCGCGGUAAUACGUAGGUGGCAAGCGUUGUCCGAAUUAUUGGGCGUAAAGGGCUCGCAGG
rnacentral:rRNA from 1 species